rnacentral:rRNA from 1 species
CACCCAGACUCCUACGGGAGGCAGCAGUGGGGAAUAUUGCACAAUGGGGGAAACCCUGAUGCAGCGACGCCGCGUGAGUGAAGAAGUAAUUCGUUAUGUAAAGCUCUAUCAGCAGGGAAGAAACAGACGGUACCUGACUAAGAAGCCCCGGCUAACUACGUGCCAGCAGCCGCGGUAAUACGUAGGGGGCAAGCGUUAUCCGGAUUCACUGGGUGUAAGGGGAGCGUAGACGGCGACGCAAGUCUGGAGUGAAAGCCCGGGGCCCAACCCCGGGACUGCUCUGGAAACUGCGUCGCUGGAGUACGGGAGGGGCAGGCGGAAUUCCUGGUGUAGCGGUGAAAUGCGUAGAUAUCAGGAGGAACACCGGCGGCGAAGGCGGCCUGCUGGACCGUGACUGACGUUGAGGCUCGAGAGCGUGGGGAGCAAACAGGAUUAGAUACCCGCGUAACC